GUUCCUAUGGAGUGUGGUAUCCCCAUCUUUGAACGGUCUUUAAACCAGAUCCAAAAUUGUGAAGCGGCGCUGGAAGCCGCAGUCAUCCAGACACACUUCCUGGAGGAGUCGGUGAAAUUCAAGCUGUGUGUGGCGACGGAUGACGUGCCGAACACAACACCGUUUGCGGUUCCGACGUUUGUGUAAUUAACACAACAAAUGAAGAGCAGAAAUAGCGGUUAUUUAUUGCCAUGGUGGAUAACGGAAACCAUACCUGUCUUUACGGAAACAAGCGAAUGAAGCGAAAUAACCACUAGUCGGGACGUACAGCGUCAGUAGUUCACGCAGCCGUCACCUAGCAACAGUCGCCCAGCAACCGUUGCUGCUUUCAAGUAGGUCACUGAUGACGUUUAGAAUUUUCAAUCUUUGAUUCCCCAGAAGUUGAAAUCAUAUCUGCCUGACCUUAGAAGUGACACAGUGGGCGAAGGUUUCCGAGUCGUUCCAAGUUAACUGCGAAAACUCAAAAAUGAACACUGAAGGGAUUAACGGCACGGCCAAUUGUUGCCUCUCCUCACACAUCACUCCCCCUACAAGACGCAACAAAAUGGUUGAUUUUGCCAAAACAAUGAGACAACGUUUUACAACAACGGUAAGGCAGAUAUUCACAUUUCUAGUAAGAAGGGAGAGAAAGAUUGAAAUAGAAACCAUUGACAGGGAGGUGAAUGAGGCCAUGGAUCUUUUCUCAUAUGGAUACUCAAGGUCUGACUUUCAGCAAAUGCGACGUAACGGCUGCUUUGGAAACAGUGUUCCUCUGGGAGUUCUUGAAACACAGCAGGAAUUGAAAGAGAAAGACAUGACAGCACGAGAAAGUAAAAUAAAAUCGUAUUUAAUGACAACAUUGUUUGAAAGAUGGUUGAUUCGCAUAAUAUAUCAGGUGGAGACAAAAGAAAAGACAGACAUAGUGGUAAAACCCAGCACCUUAUUGAUGGGAGACAUAGAAGACAUCCUCUCCAAGCUGGUUGAAAUUGACGAAGCAGAGGUUGUAAAUCAGGAGUCAAGUAAAAGGCAAAGAAAGACAGGGGCGCUGAGCAUGUUCCUCUUCAGACACAUGACAGACUCUCUAACCUCUUCUGGAUCACUACCAGAGAUCAGUGUAUAUUCAGACCUGUACCAUGAAAUACUUGACAUGGCGUCGAAAUUCAUUGAGACGAUGGACUGGUGGCAGGAAACUCAGGUUGAACCACUCGCUCAAAUGAUAAGUGAUCACUUUUUAGAGAACAGGACGACACCGUCACCAGUUGUCGAACACCAGAGCAGCGUUGCUCCAAAAACUCCUGGAGAACGUGCACACGACGACAAGGCGCAGAAAAGACCAAAACUUUUCAUUAAGACAAUUGUUGAGCAGGUCCACGGAAAGUAUCCCAAUCCCACCGAUACACAUAUGAAGUACUGUGAGAAUCGGAUGAAUAAUUACUACACCAGUGUCAGGGACCAGGACUUGGUUAUCACACAAAUGUCCACUAAUCUGUGCAAGGGUAUUGACAAAGGAGAUGAUCUGUCUUGUCUAACAACGGUUGCAGGUGUAGAUGGCAUUGUCUCCGUUAUCAAAGAUAACGUGAUGCCACAAACUAAGGGAAACUGCAUCCAGAAUUUCUUCCGCAGCAUCAGGAGAGAAAACCAGGUCUCUCCCUCUCCACCUCCCGCUCCCUCCACUCCCCCCCUCUUCUUAAGCGGUGUUACUACUGUUGC
ensembl:lncRNA